AUGAACGCUGGCGGCGUGCCUAAUACAUGCAAGUCGAGCGCACAGACGAGGAGCUUGCUCCUUUGACGUUAGCGGCGGACGGGUGAGUAACACGUAGGUAACCUACCUAUAAGACUGGGAUAACUUCGGGAAACCGGAGCUAAUACCGGAUAAUAUUUCGAACCGCAUGGUUCGAUAGUGAAAGAUGGCUUUGCUAUCACUUAUAGAUGGACCUGCGCCGUAUUAGCUAGUUGGUAAGGUAACGGCUUACCAAGGCAACGAUACGUAGCCGACCUGAGAGGGUGAUCGGCCACACUGGAACUGAGACACGGUCCAGACUCCUACGGGAGGCAGCAGUAGGGAAUCUUCCGCAAUGGGCGAAAGCCUGACGGAGCAACGCCGCGUGAGUGAUGAAGGUCUUCGGAUCGUAAAACUCUGUUAUUAGGGAAGAACAAACGUGUAAGUAACUGUGCACGUCUUGACGGUACCUAAUCAGAAAGCCACGGCUAACUACGUG
rnacentral:rRNA from 1 species